rnacentral:rRNA from 1 species
UCCUACGGGUGGCAGCAGUGAGGAAUUUUGCGCAAUGGGGGCAACCCUGACGCAGCAACGCCGCGUGAGUGAUGAAGGCCUUCGGGUCGUAAAGCUCUGUCAAGUGGGAAGAACCUGAUCGUGGUGAACAGUCAUGGUCAUUGACGGUACCACUGAAGGAAGCACCGGCUAACUCCGUGCCAGCAGCCGCGGUAAUACGGAGGGUGCAAGCGUUAUUCGGAUUUACUGGGCGUAAAGGGCGCGUAGGCGGUUGGACAAGUCAGGUGUGAAAUCCCGGGGCUUAACUCCGGAAGUGCAUCUGAUACUGUUUGGCUUGAGUAUGGUAGAGGGAAGUGGAAUUCCUGGUGUAGCGGUGAAAUGCGUAGAUAUCAGGAGGAACACCGGUGGCGAAGGCGACUUCCUGGACCAAAACUGACGCUGAGGCGCGAAGGUGUGGGGAGCAAACAGGAUUAGAUACCCUUGUAGUCUA